rnacentral:rRNA from 1 species
GAUGAACGCUGGCGGCGUGCCUAAUACAUGCAAGUCGAGCGAAUGGAUUGAGAGCUUGCUCUUAUGAAGUUAGCGGCGGACGGGUGAGUAACACGUGGGUAACCUGCCCGUAAGACUGGGAUAACUCCGGGAAACCGGGGCUAAUACCGGAUAACAUUUUGAACCGCAUGGUUCGAAAUUGAAAGGCGGCUUCGGCUGUCACUUAUGGAUGGACCCGCGUCGCAUUAGCUAGUUGGUGAGGUAACGGCUCACCAAGGCAACGAUGCGUAGCCGACCGGAGAGGGGGAUCGGCCACACUGGGACUGAGACACGGCCCAGACUACUACGGGAGGCAGCAGGAGGGAAUCUUCCGCAAUGGACGAAAGGCUGACGGAGCAACGCCGCGUGAGUGAUGAAGGCUUUCGGGUCGUAAAACUCUGUUGUUAGGGAAGAACAAGUGCUAGUUGAAUAAGCUGGCACCUUGACGGUACCUAACCAGAAAGCCACGGCUAACUACGUGCCAGCCGCCGCCGUAA